GAUGAACGCUGGCGGCGUGCCUAAUACAUGCAAGUCGAGCGAACAGACGAGGAGCUUGCUCCUCUGACGUUAGCGGUGGACGGGUGAGUAACACGUGGAUAACCUACCUAUAAGACUGGGAUAACUUCGGGAAACCGGAGCUAAUACCGGAUAACAUGUUGAACCGCACGGUUCAACAGUGAAAGACGGUCUUGCUGUCACUUAGAGAUGGAUCCGCGCCGCAUUAGCUAGUUGGUAAGGUAACGGCUUACCAAGGCAACGAUGCGUAGCCGACCUGAGAGGGUGAUCGGCCACACUGGAACUGAGACACGGUCCAGACUCCUACGGGAGGCAGCAGUAGGGAAUCUUCCGCAAUGGGCGAAAGCCUGACGGAGCAACGCCGCGUGAGUGAAGAAGGUCUUCGGAUCGUAAAACUCUGUUAUUAGGGGAGAACAAAUGUGUAAGUAACUAUGCACGUCUUGACGGUACCUAAUCAGAAAGCCACGGCUAACUACGUGCCAGCAGCCGCGGUAA
rnacentral:rRNA from 1 species